GACUAACGCUGACGGUAUGCCUUAUACAUGCAAGUCGAACGGUAAGGUCUCUUCGGAGAUACACGAGUGGCGGACGGGUGAGUAACACGUAGGAAUAUGCCCUUUAGUGGGGGACAACCAAGAGAAAUUUUGGCUAAUACCCCAUAUGCAGUGAUGUGAAAGAUUUAUCGCUAAAGGAGUAGCCUGCGCUUGAUUAGCUUGUUGGUGGGGUAAAAGCUCACCAAGGCGACGAUCAAUAGCUGGUUUGAGAGGAUGACCAGCCACAAUGGGACUGAGAUACGGCCCAUACUCCUACGGGAGGCAGCAGUAGGGAAUUUUGCGCAAUGGAGGAAACUCUGACGCAGCAAUACCGUGUGCGGGAAGACGCUUCGUGGAGUGUAAACCGCUGUCAGAUGGGACGAAUCAAUGACUGUACCAUCAAAGGAAGGACCGGCUAACUCUG
rnacentral:rRNA from 1 species